rnacentral:rRNA from 1 species
ACGAACGCUGGCGGCGUGCUUAACCCCUGCAAGUCGAACGGAAAGGCCCUGCUUUUGUGGGGUGCUCGAGUGGCGAACGGGUGAGUAACACGUGAGUAACCUGCCCUUGACUUUGGGAUAACUUCAGGAAACUGGGGCUAAUACCGGAUAGGAGCUCCUGCUGCAUGGUGGGGGUUGGAAAGUUUCGGCGGUUGGGGAUGGACUCGCGGCUUAUCAGCUUGUUGGUGGGGUAGUGGCUUACCAAGGCUUUGACGGUUAGCCGGCCUGAGAGGGUGACCGGCCACAUUGGGACUGAGAUACGGCCCAGACUCCUACGGGAGGCAGCAGUGGGGAAUAUUGCACAAUGGGCGGAAGCCUGAUGCAGCAACGCCGCGUGCGGGAUGACGGCCUUCGGGUUGUAAACCGCUUUCGCCUGUGACGAAGCGUGAGUGACGGUAAUGGGUAAAGAAGCACCGGCUAACUACGUG